rnacentral:rRNA from 1 species
AACGAACGCUGGCGGCAGGCUUAACACAUGCAAGUCGAGCGAGAUCUUCGGGUCUAGCGGCGGACGGGUGAGUAACGCGUGGGAACGUGCCCUUUUCUGCGGAAUAGCCUCGGGAAACUGAGAGUAAUACCGCAUACGCCCUUUUGGGGAAAGAUUUAUCGGAGAAGGAUCGGCCCGCGGUCGAAUAGGUAGUUGGUGGGGUAAAGGCGUAGCAAGCCGACGAGCCAUAGCGGGUUUGAGAGGAUGAUCAGCCACACUGGGACUGAGACACGGCCCAGACUCCGACGGGAGGCAGCAGUGAGGAAUCUUAGACAAUGGGUGCAACCCUGAUCUUGCCGUGCCGCGUGAGUGAUGAAGGCCUUAGGGUUGUAAAGCUCUUUCCGCUGGGAAGAUAAUGCCGGUACCAGCAGAAGAAGCCGCGGCUAACUCCGUGCCAGCCGCCGCGGUAAAAC